ACGCACGUACCGUUUGCACGAGGAACGGUUUGAGGAAACGGAUUUGUUGCUGGCCAGAACCGAACAAACCACUUACUAGCAAGUACAGAAUUUCUUUCUAAACCACUCCAAUAAAAGUGACCUGAGCCCUAGGACCAUGCUUCAGGACUACCUAGCAUGAUGACUUCUUGUUGUCCCCAGUCCACCUGGCCGUGCUCCAGUUUCAACUGUUCUGCCUGCGGCUAUGGAACCCUGACCUAUUCACUGUGAUUACUAUUAUUUGACCCUGCUGGUCAUUUCUGAACAUUUGAAAAUCUUGGCCAUGUUCUGUUAUAAUCUCCACCUGGCACAGCCAGAAGAGGACUGGCCACCCCUCAUAGCCUGGUUCCACUCUAGGUUUCUUCCUAGGUUUUGGCCUUUCUAGGGAGUUUUUCCUAGCCACUGUGCUUCUACACCUGCAUUGCUUGCUGUUUGGGGCUUUAGGCUGGGUUUCUGUACAGCACUUUGAGAUAUCAGCUGAUGUAAGAAGGGCUUUUAUAAAUACAUUUGAUUUAUCAAAGCUGUGAGGAAGUGAUGUAGUAAAUACACAGACGCCCCCCCCCCCCCCUCCCGCCAUAACAUUAUGCAUUGCGGGGUUAAGCAGUGUUCGUCAGGCUGGCGUGAAAGUCUCUGGCGGCAUUCCAUACUCUUAACAGACACAGCCCUCAGCCCUCAAAUUAAGUGGACACUUCUGAUGACGUCUGACGAGUAUAUACACUUGCAGGGCAACGAGGAAGGGAGGGAGGAAGGAAUUCAUUUUAAAUGGACAGCCCUUGCCCAGAAAUUCGUCACUCGUUCAUCCUGCGACGUUUGUGUUUUCAGCCACAGCUUGUGGGUGCUUUGUAACAGUAUAACUUUAGACCGUCCCCUCGCCCAUACCCGGGCGUGAACCAGGAACCCUCUGCACACACCAACAACAGUCACCCACGAAGCGUCGUUACCCAUCGCUACACAAAAGCCACGGCCCUUGCAGAGCAAGGGGAACCACUACUUCAAGGUCUCAGAGCAAGUUGCGUCACCGUCACUAUUUGGCGCGCACCGCUACUAAGCUAGCCGUUUCACAUCCGUUACACUUUAUAUGCGCUACAGUCAAUUAUGACUGCAUGUCUACUUAUAUUAACUAUAUAAUCAUUAAUAUACGCCUACUGUAUGAUAGCUAGAAAAGUUAUUAGCUAACUAACGUUAGCCUGCCUAGUUGGAACUUCUGAAGGAAUAUUUUUUUUAUUUCUACAAUUUCCAAAGGCUAACCAAACAAAAACACUAUUACUUUUACAAGACGUUUGUGCAUUAGUAGGACCACUUCUACCUUAUUUACAUUUGGUUUUACUUACACUUGUCUGUUGACUCCAUAUUGACGUUGACGUUUUACAUUUUUUGGCUGACUUUUCUUAGCGGAUAUACAAUAAUCUCGAAUUGAAUUAUGGGACGUUUCAGGCCCCGAAGUGAACAUAAUUGUACACUCGCAAACUCCCAUUAAAAAUGAGGGCUGAGGUGCUUAUGUUGCAAACUUCCUAUGCUUGGCUAAUCAUUUGGAUCGAAGACAAAUAUGGCCACCAGGAUCCCCCCCCCCCCCCCAAGGGCAUAAGGUGAGGGUAAGUGGACGAGGGUGUGUCUUGGAUGAGUUUGAAACGCAGCCACUGCCUACUGGUGAGGGUAAGUGGAAGAGGGAUUGCAUUGGCGAUAAUGCACCAUCACCAGUGUUGCCAACAAAUUUUCAGGGUAAGUUGCUAGAGGCAGGCUGAUUUGUUGCUAAAAGAUGUUGUGAUGUCAUUGCGUGAUAACGUAAAACUGCGUCAUUACGUAGAAUAUAUAAUAACGUUACUCAAAUUGACUGGCCAUCUCGGCAAAACAUAUGAUUUGACAUUUGUUCAGGUACAGAAUUGCACUCUUUUCUUUCCAAUUUGAUUGAGACAUGUUGAAUUAUGUUGUAAGUUCUGCUCAAGAUCAAACAUUCGUGACCAACUAUAUUCAUUGGGUUUGGCUUGUCCAACCCGUACUACUGCUGCUGCAGUCAGCCAACAAUGAUUUGCAAUUUGCUGAAAUUGCUGCUGGCCUGCUGCUGCCUGUGCACGAGCUGAGCACCUGCUGCUGACGUCACUCACAAUGUACGUUUGCAGCCAGGCACGUGUGUUGUGACUGAGUGACAGAAAAUAGUUUUCUGUAUAAUUUUGCGGGAAAAUGUGUGCAUUUUAGCGUUUGAGUCACUUUUCAAAAGUUGCUAAAAGUUCCAAAUACAUUUUUGAAAGUAGCUAAAUUUGUUGGUAGGUGCUGUUUGGGAAAAAAAGUUGAUAAAUCUAGCAACAAAAUUGCUAAGUACGCAUCACUGACCAUAACACGUUGGAUGCCAACCGCCGACAAGUAACCAAUAUAAAUAUAAAGAGGGGUUCCUGCAGAUGCAGGAAUGGUCCUCAAUUCCACCAUAAAGAUCUGGACUGUAAGCAUGAGCACUUAGCUGAGCAUGCUAUAACACAUUAACUUCGGCAUAUUAACUGUAGCUGUCUAUCACACAUUGCUCAACAGGAAGCAUCUCCCAAUUGAACUUACACAAACAUGCUGAUGUCUCCACUCACAGCACAUAGACAGGAACUGGCUCGACCACAACACCUUAAUCAGCAGUAUCGGCCAAAGCCUGACCUUGUGAAAACAGGAACACACAUACAUUAAGACACACAAACUCAUUGCACACAUAAGCUGCAUAAGAUAAAUGUAUCUAGGACACACACACACACCCUGGACUCAGGAAAACAACAAGGACAUUAAGCAACAGCUGAAGCAUGGGCUGCAGGAGCCAAUCAGCAGAGGCUACGCCUGGACCUGAUCCAACCAGAGAACCAGGACUUCAAGACUCAACCUACUUUCUGUGCUGUAUAAAACAUGUAAACAAACUGUAUUAGGGGCUCUCCCUCUUCUAGCUCACUCGGAGUUACUAGAAAGAGCCCGUGCACGCUGUGCCAAAUAUCUUCACUCUGAAUAAACUGUCGCUUGUCAUACAAUCUA